ACCAGGUAUGGUGUUGCACUUCUGUAAUCCCUGGCUAGCAAGGAGGUUGAGGCUGGUUUAUCUUUUGAUGAGAAGAUCGGAGGUACAGUGGGCUGUGCCAGUCAGGUGUCCGCACUAAAUUUGGCACUGAUGUGGAGAGCCUCUGAGAUCAGGGACCUACUAGGUUGCCUAAGAAGGGGAAACCAGUUCAGGUUGGAAAAGGAGUGGGUCAGAGAUCCUAUGCUGAUUAUUAGUGGGAUUAGGCCUUUGGGUAGCUGUUGCAUUUCCAAUUUUGGGGAAAACCAGUCUUU
rnacentral:SRP_RNA from 1 species